CAGGCAGUACUGAUGACGUAGGUGCAGAGAACAUGUGAAACAGGAGAGAUACGAUGAUAAAUGAGAGUGAACGUGUUUUGCUACAGGUGUACGUGGUAGCUGGAUGGUCACCACGCUGUCCUGCAGUCUUUUUUGUGGGGGAUCUGCUUCCUGCUGCGUCGGUCCAUGCUGCUUCCAACUCCACGAAUGCCCGGUCCGGACCUGCAACAAUGGAAA